rnacentral:rRNA from 1 species
UCUUCUCCACGUUUUAGACUUGAAACCUAAAAAACCCCUCCAGAAAAGUAAUCAGAAUAUUAUUAGGAUAUAGAUAUAAGCUUGGCUCUGACUUAAAGUAUAACAUAGAACUAAAGAAUACACAUGGUUUUUUUAGAUAAAAGCGAGGAGGAAGAAAGAGUAAUGCUGAAUAAAAAAUCCAGCAAGGCAAAAUGUUUGCUCAUCUUCCACGAUAUUAUGGAUUCAGAUGAUAUUCCGAAAAGUCCCGCUAACGCCAGUGCUGAAGGUUAAAAAAGGAGCGUAAGCUUGCGUUAAUUCAGUUCAGAAAAUCCGGUCAACUUGGUGCCAGCAUCCGCGGUUAAACCAAGGUGAUUAAGUUAUACUUCAUCGGUAAAAAGGCAGUUAGGUAAAAAAUCAAUAGUCGAAUUAAUUAUCAUUGAGAGGUAAAAUUUAUAAAUGAUCUAAAAAUCUAAUGGCCGCUAGAAAUCUGAAGCUGCGAAGACCCUGAGGGAAACUGGGAUUAGAUACCCCAUUAUUCCUAGAGGUAAAAGGACGUUAGUUUACCAGAGUACUAUGAACCUAUAAAUUUAAAACUCAAAGGGCUUGGCGGUGUUUUAGACUCUUCAGGGGAACCUGUCUCGUAAUCGACAAUCCACGUUAAACCUAGCCUUUAUUUGCUCUCAGUUUGUAUACCGUCGUCGUCAGGUAACUUUUUAGAAUAAAGCAGUUAGCAGAAAAAGCAUUGUAAUUUUUCACGUCAGAUCAAGGUGCAGCUGAUAUAAAGGCGAGGAUGGGUUACAAUUAUUAUAAUUAUAAACACUGAAUAGUUACUUGAAACAGAACUAGGAAGGAGGACUUGAAAGUAAAAUAAAUUAUGUAAACAAUUUGAAUCAAGCUCUGGAACGUGCACACAUCGCCCGUCGCUCUCGUUGAAAAACGAGAUAAGUCGUAACAUAGCAGGGGUAAUGGAAAUUGUCCCUAAAU